rnacentral:rRNA from 1 species
UGCACAUGCAGUUCGAGCGGCAGCACGGGUACUUUGUACCUGGUGGCGAGCGGCGGACGGGUGAGUAAUGCCUAGGAAUCCUGCCUGGUAGUGGGGGAUAACGCUCGGAAACGGACGCUAAUACCGCAUACGUCCUACGGGAGAAAGCAGGGGACCUUCGGGCCUUGCGCUAUCAGAUGAGCCUAGGUCGGAUUAGCUAGUUGGUGAGGUAAUGGCUCACCAAGGCGACGAUCCGUAACUGGUCUGAGAGGAUGAUCAGUCACACUGGAACUGAGACACGGUCCAGACUCCUACGGGAGGCAGCAGUGGGGAAUAUUGGACAAUGGGCGAAAGCCUGAUCCAGCCAUGCCGCGUGUGUGAAGAAGGUCUUCGGAUUGUAAAGCACUUUAAGUUGGGAGGAAGGGCAGUUACCUAAUACGUAUCUGUUUUGACGUUACCGACAGAAUAAGCACCGGCUAACUCUGUGCCAGCAGCCGCGGUAAUACAGAGGGUGCAAGCGUUAAUCGGAAUUACUGGGCGUAAAGCGCGCGUAGGUGGUUUGUUAAGUUGGAUGUGAAAUCCCCGGGCUCAACCUGGGAACUGCAUUCAAAACUGACAAGCUAGAGUAUGGUAGAAGGGGGGGGGGAAUUUCCUGGGGUAGCGGUGAAAUGCGUAGAUUUAGGAAGGAACACCAGUGGCGAAGGCGACCACCUGGACUGAUACUGACACUGAGGUGCGAAAGCGUGGGGAGCAAACAGGAUUAGAUACCCUGGUAGUCCACGCCGUAAACGAUGUCAACUAGCCCUUUGGGAGCCUUGAGCUCUUAGUGGCGCAGCUUACGCAUUAAGUUGACCGCCUGGGGAGUACGGCCGCAAGUUAAUCAAAAUUUUUUUUUGGGGGGGGGGGGAAAAAAGGGGGCGGAAAAGGGGAGGGGAGAAGGGAGGAG